CGAAGGGGGCUAGCGUUGUUCGGAAUUACUGGGCGUAAAGCGCACGUAGGCGGAUCGAUCAGUCAGGGUGAAAUCCCAGGGCUCAACCCUGGAACUGCCUUUGAUACUGUCGAUCUGGAGUAUGGAAGAGGUGAGUGGAAUUCCGAGUGUAGAGGUGAAAUUCGUAGAUAUUCGGAGGAACACCAGUGGCGAAGGCGGCUCACUGGUCCAUUACUGACGCUGACGGUGCGAAAGCGUGGGGAACAAACAGGAUUAGAUACCCUGGUAGUCCACGCCGUAAACGAUGAAUGUUAGCCGUCGGGCAGUAAUACUGUUCGGUGGCGCAGCUAACGCAUUAAACAUUCCGCCUGGGGAGUACGGUCGCAAGAUUA
rnacentral:rRNA from 1 species